CUCUCCUUGGUAAUCUAAAUUACCAACCCAAAAAAAUACCAAACGUGAUAAUCUGAUGGGGUCUUUUAAAUUACCAGCAAUUUUAAUAGAUUGCCAGCUACCAAACACAAUCUAAAUGUUUCUGAUGAUGUUUAUACACGUCACCGACUAUUUAAUAUUUUUUGCUAUCAAGUACAGAAAAGAAAAGAUGCAAAGCGAAGCUUAGAGCAG
rnacentral:lncRNA from 1 species